AUAUUCAGAUGUUCAUUGGAAAUAUUUUUUUUGCAUUGACCAUCAUGUAAUGAAAAUUACAUGCUGAUGAUUUGCAUAAAUAAAUGAUAAAACGCAUGAGAAAACAGUCAUCAGUUUGUCAGUGCAAAGGAGCAACCAACAGACAAACAUUUUUUCAUCACCUUUAAGAGAUCCAAAACAGAGUCUUAAUGGAGUGGACUGUACUGCUCAUCCUGCUGUUCACAGCAAUGAAAACUUCAUACAGUAGUACUGAUAUGAUGACGGGUUCCACGGAAAAUGGACAGAGCA